UGGGGAAUUUUGCACAAUGGGCGCAAGCCUGAUGCAGCGACGCCGCGUGAGGGAUGAAGGCCUUCGGGUUGUAAACCUUUUUCGCUCAUGGUCAAGCCGCAGCUUUGGGUUGUGGUGAGGGUAGUGGGUAAAGAAGCGCCGGCUAACUACGUGCCAGCAGCCGCGGUAAUACGUAGGGCGCGAGCGUUGUCCGGAAUUAUUGGGCGUAAAGGGCUUGUAGGCGGUUGGCCGCGUCUGCCGUGAAAUCCUCUGGCUUAACUGGGGCGUGCGGUGGGUAAGGGUUGACUUGAGUGCGGUAGGGGAGACUGGAAUUCCUGGUGUAGCGGUGGAAUGCGCAGAUAUCAGGAGGAACACCGGUGGCGAAGGCGGGUCUCUGGGCCGUUACUGACGCUGAGGAGCGAAAGCGUGGGGAGCGAACAGG
rnacentral:rRNA from 1 species